rnacentral:rRNA from 1 species
GAGCGAACAGGAUUAGAUACCCUGGUAGUNCACGCCGUAAACGAUGAGUGCUAGGUGUUAGGCCCUUUCCGGGGCUUAGUGCCGCAGCUAACGCAUUAAGCACUCCGCCUGGGGAGUACGACCGCAAGGUUGAAACUCAAAGGAAUUGACGGGGGCCCGCACAAGCGGUGGAGCAUGUGGUUUAAUUCGAAGCAACGCGAAGAACCUUACCAGGUCUUGACAUCCCGAUGCCCGCUCUAGAGAUAGAGUUUUACUUCGGUACAUCGGUGACAGGUGGUGCAUGGUUGUCGUCAGCUCGUGUCGUGAGAUGUUGGGUUAAGUCCCGCAUCGAGCGCAACCCUUAUUGUUAGUUGCCAUCAUUCAGUUGGGCACUCUAGCGAGACUGCCGGUAAUAAACCGGAGGAAGGUGGGGAUGACGUCAAAUCAUCAUGCCCCUUAUGACCUGGGCUACACACGUGCUACAAUGGCUGGUACAACGAGUCGCAAGUCGGUGACGGCAAGCUAAUCUCUUAAAGCCAGUCUCAGUUCGGAUUGUAGGCUGCAACUCGCCUACAUGAAGUCGGAAUCGCUAGUAAUCGCGGAUCAGCACGCCGCGGUGAAUACGUUCCCGGGCCUUGUACACACCGCCCGUCACACCACGAGAGUUUGUAACACCCGAAGUCGGUGAGGU